AGGGGCAGCAUGAACUUAGCUUGCUAAGUUUGAUGGCGACCGGCGCACGGGUGAGUAACACGUAUCCAACCUGCCGAUGACUCGGGGAUAGCCUUUCGAAAGAAAGAUUAAUACCCGAUGGCAUAGUUCUUCCGCAUGGUGGAACUAUUAAAGAAUUUCGGUCAUCGAUGGGGAUGCGUUCCAUUAGGUAGUAGGCGGGGUAACGGCCCACCUAGCCGACGAUGGAUAGGGGUUCUGAGAGGAUGAACGGCCACACUGGAACUGAGACACGGUCCAGACUCC
rnacentral:rRNA from 1 species